rnacentral:rRNA from 1 species
UACGAAGGGGGCUAGCGUUGUUCGGAAUUACUGGGCGUAAAGGGCGCGUAGGCGGCCCGAUCAGUCAGAUGUGAAAGCCCCGGGCUCAACCUGGGAACUGCAUUUGAUACUGUCGGGCUUGAGUUCCGGAGAGGAUGGUGGAAUUCCCAGUGUAGAGGUGAAAUUCGUAGAUAUUGGGAAGAACACCGGUGGCGAAGGCGGCCAUCUGGACGGACACUGACGCUGAGGCGGCGAAAAGCGUGGGGAGCAAACAGG